AUGCAAUGGUCUACACUACCGAUCGAUGUUGAAAUGGAUUGCCAAGUUGAUGUGGACUCUAUUCAAGCACAGUCCAUGAACAGAUCUGAGCACGUGAUGUUAGUGAAUGAGGUUAGGAAACUUCUUGGUGAAAGGGAUAACUCUAUUGCUCAUAUUAGUAGGAACCAAAAUAUCGUAAGUCAUAGGUUAGCUUCUUUUGGACGUGUUGAAGCUCGUACGGCAAUUUGGAUAAAGUCUGGUCCUGCUAAUGUACCACAACUUUGUAUGGAGGAUCUCCCUCCAAUUCGAGCAAUGAAAUUUCUUUGA
rnacentral:rRNA from 1 species